AUUGGUUGAAUAUCACCCCCAGCUUUCGCUAUGGCACCCAGAGCCCCCAGGGGCCUCAACUCACUGUGUACUGCCCCAUGUGCAGCAGUGAAACCCAGACCCUGAUGGGC
ensembl:snoRNA